rnacentral:tRNA from 1 species
GGAGGCGCAACUUGUCCGGUGAUGGGCGCGGUCUUCAAAACCGUUGUGAGGGUGCGAGAGUAUUCUCAAGUGGGUUCGACUCCCACACGCCUCCGCCA